rnacentral:rRNA from 1 species
UUCCACGCCGUAAACGAUGAGUGCUAGGUGCUGUGGGUAUUGACCCCCGCGGUGCCGCAGCUAACGCGUUAAGCACUCCGCCUGGGGAGUACGGCCGCAAGGCUAAAACUCAAAGGAAUUGACGGGGGCCCGCACAAGCGGUGGAGCAUGUGGUUCAAUUCGACGCAACGCGCAGAACCUUACCUGGGUUAAAUCCAUUCAAAGCUGCCAGAGAUGGCGGGGUGCCCUUCGGGGAAUGAAUGAGAAGGUGCUGCAUGGCUGUCGU